CCGCGCCCGCCACCCGGAGGAGUUGCCGGGCCUGCCCCACGCCCGCCACCCGGAGGAGUUGCCGGGCCUGCCGCUCGCCCACUGGCCUGAGGAACCUAUGGUGCUGGACCCCCCAGAGGACAACACCCUGACACAGAAAACCCUGCUGUAGUUUCUUGCAAGGAUAGGAAUUCAUGGUAUGUGAAAAUACUUUGUCAGAUAGAGGAAUUCUGAUAGCACAGAAUUGACACAGGGAGCCACUCAACUCCCAGCAAGAAUGAAAAGGCCCAUGAUC